rnacentral:rRNA from 1 species
UGCAGUCGAGCGGACAGAUGGGAGCUUGCUCCCUGAUGUUAGCGGCGGACGGGUGAGUAACACGUGGGUAACCUGCCUGUAAGACUGGGAUAACUCCGGGAAACCGGGGCUAAUACCGGAUGGUUGUUUGAACCGCAUGGUUCAGACAUAAAAGGUGGCUUCGGCUACCACUUACAGAUGGACCCGCGGCGCAUUAGCUAGUUGGUGAGGUAACGGCUCACCAAGGCAACGAUGCGUAGCCGACCUGAGAGGGUGAUCGGCCACACUGGGACUGAGACACGCAGCAGUAGGGAAUCUUCCGCAAUGGACGAAAGUCUGACGGAGCAACGCCGCGUGAGUGAUGAAGGUUUUCGGAUCGUAAAGCUCUGUUGUUAGGGAAGAACAAGUGCCGUUCAAAUAGGGCGGCACCUUGACGGUACCUAACCAGAAAGCCACGGCUAACUACGUGCCAGCAGCCGCGGUAAUACGUAGGUGGCAAGCGUUGUCCGGAAUUAUUGGGCGUAAAGGGCUCGCAGGCGGUUUCUUAAGUCUGAUGUGAAAGCCCCCGGCUCAACCGGGGAGGGUCAUUGGAAACUGGGGAACUUGAGUGCAGAAGAGGAGAGUGGAAUUCCACGUGUAGCGGUGAAAUGCGUAGAGAUGUGGAGGAACACCAGUGGCGAAGGCGACUCUCUGGUCUGUAACUGACGCUGAGGAGCGAAAGCGUGGGGGAGCGAACAGGAUUAGAUACCCUGGUAGUCCACGC